AUUCCAUGGUGAGGGUAUUUGCACAACAACUCCUUAAACCGCUCCCAUGACUUAUAUAAAGAUUCUUCAUCAAGUUUCUGAAAUGAAUUAAUCUCAUCGUGGAGCUU